AUGCGAGCGUUAUCCGGAUUUAUUGGGUUUAAAGGGUGCGCAGGCGGACUGUCAAUUAAGCGGUAAAAGCCCGGGGCUCAACCCCGGCGAGCCGUUGAAACUGGUGUGCUUGAGAGGCCGAGAGGUAUGCGGAAUGCGCGGUGUAGCGGUGAAAUGCAUAGAUAUCGCGCAGAACUCCGAUUGCGAAGGCAGCAUACCGGCGGUCAUCUGACGCUGAGGCACGAAAGCGUGGGGAUC
rnacentral:rRNA from 1 species